CCUACGGGGGGCAGCAGUAGGGAAUAUUGGACAAUGGGCGAAAGCCUGAUCCAGCAAUGCCGCGUGAGUGAUGAAGGCCUUAGGGUUGUAAAGCUCUUUUACCCGAGAUGAUAAUGACAGUAUCGGGAGAAUAAGCUCCGGCUAACUCCGUGCCAGCAGCCGCGGUAAUACGGAGGGAGCUAGCGUUGUUCGGAAUUACUGGGCGUAAAGCGCACGUAGGCGGCGAUUUAAGUCAGAGGUGAAAGCCCGGGGCUCAACCCCGGAACUGCCUUUGAGACUGGAUUGCUAGAAUCUUGGAGAGGCGAGUGGAAUUCCGAGUGUAGAGGUGAAAUUCGUAGAUAUUCGGAAGAACACCAGUGGCGAAGGCGGCUCGCUGGACAAGUAUUGACGCUGAGGUGCGAAAGCGUGGGGAGCAAACAGGAUUAGAUACCCCAGUAGUCC
rnacentral:rRNA from 1 species